GUGGGGAAUUUUGGACAAUGGGGGCAACCCUGAUCCAGCAACGCCGCGUGAGGGAUGAAGGUUCUCGGAUUGUAAACCUCUUUUGCAGGGGACGAAUCCGUCCGUGAAUAACGGACAAUGACGGUACUCUGCGAAUAAGCCACGGCUAACUACGUGCCAGCAGCCGCGGUAAUACGUAGGUGGCAAGCGUUACUCGGAAUUACUAGGCGUAAAGCGCAGGUAGGCGGUGCGGUAAGUCCGUAAUGAAAUCUCCCGGCUUAACUGGGAGGGGUUUAGGGAUACUGCCGUGCUCGAGUGUGGGAGAGGUCACUGGAAUUCCUGGUGUAGCGGUGAAAUGCGUAGAGAUCAGGAGGAACACCUAUGGCGAAAGCAGGUGACUGGCCCAAUACUGACGCUGAGCUGCGAAAGCUAGGGGAGCAAACAGGAUUAGAUACCCUUGUAGUCC
rnacentral:rRNA from 1 species